AGAGUUUGAUCAUGGCUCAGGACGAACGCUGGCGGCGUGCCUAAUACAUGCAAGUAGAACGCUGAAGAGAGGAGCUUGCUCUUCUUGGAUGAGUUGCGAACGGGUGAGUAACGCGUAGGUAACCUGCCUUGUAGCGGGGGAUAACUAUUGGAAACGAUAGCUAAUACCGCAUAACAAUGGAUGACACAUGUCAUUUAUUUGAAAGGGGCAAUUGCUCCACUACAAGAUGGACCUGCGUUGUAUUAGCUAGUAGGUGAGGUAAUGGCUCACCUAGGCGACGAUACAUAGCCGACCUGAGAGGGUGAUCGGCCACACUGGGACUGAGACACGGCCCAGACUCCUACGGGAGGCAGCAGUAGGGAAUCUUCGGCAAUGGGGGCAACCCUGACCGAGCAACGCCGCGUGAGUGAAGAAGGUUUUCGGAUCGUAAAGCUCUGUUGUAAGUCAAGAACGGGUGUGAGAGUGGAAAGUUCACACUGUGACGGUAGCUUACAGAAAGGGACGGCUAACUACGUGCCAGCAGCCGCGGUAAUACGUAGGUCCCGAGCGUUGUCCGGAUUUAUUGGGCGUAAAGCGAGCGCAGGCGGUUUGAUAAGUCUGAAGUUAAAGGCUGUGGCUCAACCAUAGUUCGCUUUGGAAACUGUCAAACUUGAGUGCAGAAGGGGAGAGUGGAGUUCCAUGUGUAGCGGUGAAAUGCGUAGAUAUAUGGAGGAACACCGGUGGCGAAAGCGGCUCUCUGGUCUGUAACUGACGCUGAGGCUCGAAAGCGUGGGGAGCGAACAGGAUUAGAUACCCUGGUAGUCCACGCCGUAAACGAUGAGUGCUAGGUGUUGGAUCCUUUCCGGGAUUCAGUGCCGCAGCUAACGCAUUAAGCACUCCGCCUGGGGAGUACGACCGCAAGGUUGAAACUCAAAGGAAUUGACGGGGGCCCGCACAAGCGGUGGAGCAUGUGGUUUAAUUCGAAGCAACGCGAAGAACCUUACCAGGUCUUGACAUCCCGAUGCUAUUUCUAGAGAUAGAAAGUUACUUCGGUACAUCGGUGACAGGUGGUGCAUGGUUGUCGUCAGCUCGUGUCGUGAGAUGUUGGGUUAAGUCCCGCAACGAGCGCAACCCCUAUUGUUAGUUGCCAUCAUUCAGUUGGGCACUCUAGCGAGACUGCCGGUAAUAAACCGGAGGAAGGUGGGGAUGACGUCAAAUCAUCAUGCCCCUUAUGACCUGGGCUACACACGUGCUACAAUGGUUGGUACAACGAGUUGCGAGUCGGUGACGGCGAGCUAAUCUCUUAAAGCCAAUCUCAGUUCGGAUUGUAGGCUGCAACUCGCCUACAUGAAGUCGGAAUCGCUAGUAAUCGCGGAUCAGCACGCCGCGGUGAAUACGUUCCCGGGCCUUGUACACACCGCCCGUCACACCACGAGAGUUUGUAACACCCGAAGUCGGUGAGGUAACCUUUUGGAGCCAGCCGCCUAAGGUGGGACAGAUGAUUGGGGUGAAGUCGUAACAAGGUA
rnacentral:rRNA from 1 species